AACGUAGGACGCAAGCGUUAUCCGGAGUUACUGGGCGUAAAGCGCGGGCAGGCGGCUCUGUAAGUCUGAUGUGAAAGCGCCCGGCUCAACCGGGCGAGGCCAUUGGAAACUACAGAGCUGGAGGGCAGUAGAGGCAGGCGGAAUUCCGGGUGGAGUGGUGAAAUGCGUAGAGAUCCGGAGGAACACCAGAGGCGAAGGCGACUACCUGGCCUGUUCUUGACGCUGAGGCGCGAAAGCUAGGGGAGCAAACGGG
rnacentral:rRNA from 1 species